ACUGCUCAGUAACACGUAGCUAACCUACCCUUGGGACGGGUACAACCCCGGGAAACUGAGGUUAAUACCCGAUAGGUGUGGAAUCCUGGAAUGGUACCACGCCCAAAUGUAAGCGCAUCCAUGUUUGUGUGAACGCCCGAAGAUGGGGCUGCGGCCGAUCAGGCAGUUGGUGAGGUAACGGCUCACCAAACCUUUGACCGGUACGGGCCAUGAGAGUGGUAGCCCGGAGAUGGGCACUGAGACAAGGGCCCAGGCCCUACGGGGCGCAGCAGGCGCGAAACCUCCACAAUUCACGAAAGUGAGAUGGGGUUACCUCGAGUGCCGCCUGAAGAAGGCGGCUUUUCCAUUGUGUAAUGAGCCGUGGGAAUAAGAGGGGGGCAAGACUGGUGUCAGCCGCCGCGGUAACACCAGCCCCUCGAGUGGUGGGGAUGAUUAUUUGGCCUAAAGCGUCCGUAGCCUGCUCUGUAAAUCUUUCGUUAAAUCCAGCGUCCUAAGCGUUGGGCUGCGAGAGAGACUGCAGAGCUAGAGGGUGGGAGAGGUCAGCGGUAUUCCUGGGGUAGGGGCGAAAUCCAUUGAUCCCAGGAGGACCACCAGUGGCGAAGGCUGCUGACUAGAACACGCCUGACGGUGAGGGACGAAAGCUGGGGUAGCGAAUCGGAUUAUAUACCCGAGUAGUCCCAGCCGUAAACGAUGCAGGCUAGGUGUUGGGUUGGCCACGUGCCAGCUCAGUGCCACGGGGAAGCCAUUAAGCCUGCCGCCUGGAGAGUACGGCCGCAAGGCUGAAACUUAAAGGAAUUGGCG
rnacentral:rRNA from 1 species